rnacentral:rRNA from 1 species
GACGAACGCUGGCGGCGUGCUUAACACAUGCAAGUCGAACGGACAGGCCCUGCUUUUGUGGGGUGCUCGAGUGGCGAACGGGUGAGUAACACGUGUGUAAACUGUCCUUGACUUUCGGAUAACUUCUGGAAACUGGGGCUCUAACCCGAUAGGAUCUCCUGCUGCAUGGUGUGGGUUGGUAAGUUUCGGCGGUUCGGGAUGGACUCGCGGCUUAUCAGCUUGUUGGGCUGGUAGUGGCUUUCCAAGGCUUUGACGGGUAGCCGGCCUGAGAGGGGGACCGGCGACAAGAGGACUGCGGUACGGACCAGUAGCCUACGGGAGGCAGCAGGCGGGAGUAUUACAGAAUGGCGGGAAGCCUGAUGUAGCAACGCCGCGUGCGGGAUGACCGGUUUCGGGGUGUAAACCGCUUUGGCAGGUAACGAACCGGGAGUGACGGUAAUGGGUAAGGAAGCACCGGCUAACUACGUG